CAUGCCGCGUGAGUGAUGAAGGCCUUCGGGUUGUAAAGCUCUUUCGGCAGGGAAGAUAAUGACAGUACCUGGAGAAUAAUCUCCGGAUAGUUCCAAGCCAGCAGCCCCGGCUCUACGCCGGCAGCUGGGGUUGUUCGGAAUUACUGGCGGUAUGCGCACUUAUUCGGUUUAUCGGGUCGGAGGUGAAAUCCCGAAGCUCAACUCGAAAACUGCCCUUGAAACUAUGGAACUGCAAUUGAGAAGAGGUGACUGGAAUUCCGAGUGUAGAGGUGAAAUUCGUAGAGAUUCGGAGGAAUGCCAAUGGCUAAGGCGGCUCACUGGUCGCGUAUUGACGCUAAUGUGCGAAAACUGGCGCUGCAAACAGGAUUAGAUACCCUGGUAGUCCACGCCAUACACUAUGAGUGCUAGCUGUCCGCGAUCAUGACUCUUCUGGUGGCGCAGCUAACGCAUUACUUUAUCCGCCUGGGGAGUACGGUCGCAGGAUUAAAACUCAAAGAA
rnacentral:rRNA from 1 species